AACUGAUACUACCUGCGGGAACCUGCGGACGGAUCAUUAGUGAACGCCCUCACGGGCUUAUAACUAUUCCAAACCUCUGUGAACCGUGCCCUUCGGGGCUAUUUUACAAACAUGGUGUAAUGAACGUCAUAUAUCAUAACAAAACAAAACUUUUAACAACGGAUCUCU
rnacentral:misc_RNA from 1 species